UGAUGCAACUUUCAAGUGGACGGCAUCAGCCUCACCGGGAGAUAAAUGUUGGAGUUGUAGAUGACACUUCUUCCCAAUUGUUGGGGCUGUGCAAGGUCAAUGAGUUACUUUAUCUUGUAUGGACCAUUGACAUUCUUGAGGAAAAUUCAAAUUUUGUUGAGGUUUUGAAGAUUUGGGAUGUUUUGCCAUUAUCUGAAGUAUCCAAGAUGGCGAGGGAUAUGAACAUCUUUUGCAGGAAUUAUUCUGUUGAUAUUCAUAGAUGCUGCAAAAUUAGAUGUUCUAAUGGCAGGGAUUUUGUCGUUCCGGAGAGAUGGUCAGCUAAUUUGAAUCAUCAAACCAAUCAUAAUCUGCAACAAGAUGAUCCAAUGCAGUUUCUUUGUAACCAACUUGAUUUGCUCCAACUGAGGGAUGUUUAAAUGAGAAUGAAUUGAAAUAUUGGAUUUUGGGAUCAUACUAGACAACUUUGGUUUGGAAAACAAAAAUUUAAAAUUUCAUGUUUAGGAAGGCAUCUGCCGCAACUGGAACUCCAAGGACAGCCUAAUAAUUGAUUUGAAUCAGGCUAAUUGUAACAUGUGUAUCACAGGAGAUUUGACUCCGCUAAAGUGAAAAAUACACUUGAACUUGAAAUUGUAUAUCCUCAGCUGAUCACAUAUUUUUCACGACUUCGAUCCUCUCUAGCAUCUCUAUCCUCUGUGUCAAAGGUUUACGAUUGGAUCAAUUCAGCAGUUGAGAUCAAUAAUCUUGGUCGUUGGAGAGUAAUCCAACCCCCAGCCACUUUUGGCUGUAGAGGUUGGAGACUAUCAAGAGGAACAGAGCUGUCUUUUCUAUAGACACACAAACACUUAACAUUGACAAACCACAUGUGUAUGUACGUAUAGAAGAAUUUAGUCAAUAUCUGCAUGAAGGCAUGGAGUAAAACAUUAUGCCUUUUUUUGGGUUUGCAUAGCCUCUAUAUCUACAUUGUAUUUUCAUGCCAGGUUCAAUUUAAGAUUUCAUCUGGAUAUGACAAGGAAGAAGCAAAAUAGUAUGUGAAACAUGGAUUUUCUUUAAUGCCUUUGGGGUGUAUUUUCAGUAUCAUAUCGAUAGUAUCCAAGUUCAAGAAAAUAGUAAUUGUAUUAUUGAUUUAGAAACUUGAUGUAUUUUAGAAGAAAAGUCUACCGUAACCUCUGACUUAUUGUUCCUUGUAGAAGAGAUGAUUUUCUCUGUCCAACCCUUAAAGGUUGUAUAUGUAAAGGAUCUAGAAUGCAUUCGCCCGA